rnacentral:ncRNA from 2 species
CGGCGCGGCUACGUCAUGGGUGCCCGCACAUACGGGCCUAAGAGGGAAGCCGGCCGAAACUGCCGGCGCUGCCCCCGCAACUGUGACCGGAGAGCCUGUCUCCACACGCGCCACUGGCCGCCGUUCCUGAAGAGGAGCGCGCUGGGAAGGCGGGGGCGGGCGAUGAUCCGGGAGCCAGGAGACCUGCCCAAGACGGUCGUUCCGU